rnacentral:rRNA from 1 species
UACAGAGGUCCCAAGCGUUGUUCGGAUUCAUUGGGCGUAAGGGUGCGUAGGCGGCGCGGUAAGUCGGGUGUGAAAUCUCGGGGCUUAACUCCGAAACUGCAUUCGAUACUGCCGUGCUUGAGGACUGGAGAGGAGACUGGAAUUUACGGUGUAGCGGUGAAAUGCGUAGAUAUCGUAAGGAAGACCAGUGGCGAAGGCGGGUCUCUGGACAGUUCCUGACGCUGAGGAGCGAAAGCGGUGGGAGAAACAGG